rnacentral:rRNA from 1 species
ACGCUGGCGGCACGCCUAAUACAUGCAAGUCGAACGAAGUAGCAAUACUUAGUGGCAGACGGGUGAGUAACAUGUAGGUAUCUUCCCUUUGGUGAGGAAUAACACGAGGAAACUUGUGCUAAUACCUCAUAAGUCUUUACGGAGAAAGCUUUAUGCGCCAAUGGAUGAGCCUGCACUUGAUUAGUUUGUUGGUAGGGUAAUGGCCUACCAAGACAAUGAUCAAUAGCUGAUUUGAGAGGAUGAUCAGCCACAUUGGGACUGAGACACGGCCCAAACUCCUACGGGAGGCAGCAGUAGGGAAUCUUGCACAAUGGGGGGAACCCUGAUGCAGCGAUGCCGCGUGAGUGAAGAAGGCCUUUGGGUUGUAAAGCUCUUUCGUCGGGGAAGAAAAUGACUGUACCCGAAUAAGAAGGUCCGGCUAACUUCGUGCCAGCAGCCGCGGUAAUACGAAGGGACCUAGCGUAGUUCGGAAUUACUGGGCUUAAAGAGUUCGUAGGUGGUUAAAAAAGUUGGUGGUGAAAUCCCAGAGCUUAACUCUGGAACUGCCAUCAAAACUUUUUAGCUAGAGUAUGAUAGAGGAAAGCAGAAUUUCUAGUGUAGAGGUGAAAUUCGUAGAUAUUAGAAAGAAUACCAAUUGCGAAGGCAGCUUUCUGGAUCAUUACUGACACUGAGGAACGAAAGCAUGGGUAGCGAAGAGGAUUAGAUACCCUCGUAGUCCAUGCCGUAAACGAUGUGUGUUAGACGUUGGAAAUUUAUUUUCUGUGUCGCAGCGAAAGCAAUAAACACACCGCCUGGGGAGUACGACCGCAAGGUUAAAACUCAAAUGAAUUGACGGGGACCCGCACAAGUAGUGGAGCAUGUGGUUUAAUUCGAAGAUACGCGCAGAACCUUACCAACACUUGACAUGUUCGUCGCGACUUUAAGAGAUUAAAGUUUUCGGUUCGGCCGGACGAAACACAGGUGCUGCAUGGCUGUCGUCAGCUCGUGUCGUGAGAUGUUGGGUUAAGUCCCGCAACGAGCGCAACCCUCACUUUUAGUUGCCAUCAUUUAGUUGGGCACUCUGAAAGAACUGCCAGUGAUAAGCUGGAGGAAGGUGGGGAUGACGUCAAGUCCUCAUGGCCCUUACGUGUUGGGCUACACACGUGCUACAAUGGCAAUUACAAUAGGAAGCAAAACGGCGACGUUAAGCAAAUCCUAAAAAAGUGCCUCAGUUCGGAUUGUACUCUGCAACUCGAGUACAUGAAGCUGGGAUUACUAGUAAUCGCGGAUCAGCGCGCCGCGGUGAAUACGUUCCCGGGUCUUGUACACACCGCCCGUCACACCAUGGGAGUUGGUUCUACCUUAAGGCAGCCGCUAAAAACUUUGACCACGGUAUAGUCAGCGACUGGGGUGAAGUCGUAACAAGGUAGCCGUAGGGGAACCUGCGGCUGGAUUACCUCCUUUCU